AUUCAAGAAAUUAAGGGCUUAUGGGGGAUACCUUGGCAUUCAGAAGCGAUGAAGGACGUGGCUACCUGCGAUAAGCUUCGGGGAGCUGGAAGCAAGCUUUGAUCCGGAGGUUUCCGAAUGAGGCAACUCCAAGAACUACUUAUUGAAUACAUAGAUAAGUAAGAGCGAACCCAGGGAAUUGAAACAUCUUAGUACCUGGAGGAAAAGAAAGUAAAAACGAUUCCCUUAGUAGCGGCGAGCGAAAUGGGAACAGCCUAAACUUUUAAAUAAUAUUUAUUUAAGAGGGUUGUGGGGUAGUAUGAUUAAAGUAAACAUACUUUAGCACUUUGGUGCUUUAGAA
rnacentral:rRNA from 1 species